CGAUAACGAACGAGACCUUAACCUACUAAAUAGUGCGAUUAGCUUUUGCUGAUUUUGACACUUCUUAGAGGGACUAUCGAUUUCAAGUCGAUGGAAGUUUGAGGCAAUAACAGGUCUGUGAUGCCCUUAGACGUUCUGGGCCGCACGCGCGCUACACUGACGGAGCCAGCGAGUAAUAACCUUGGCCGAGAGGUCUGGGUAAUCUUGUGAAACUCCGUCGUGCUGGGGAUAGAGCAUUGCAAUUAUUGCUCUUCAACGAGGAAUUCCUAGUAAGCGCAAGUCAUCAGCUUGCGUUGAUUACGUCCCUGCCCUUUGUACACACCGCCCGUCGCUACUACCGAUUGAAUGGCU
rnacentral:rRNA from 1 species